UACGGAGGGGGCGAGCGUUAUUCGGAAUUAUUGGGCGUAAAGGGCGCGUAGGCGGCUUGAUGUGUCAAAGGUGAAAUCCCUCGGCUCAACUGAGGAACUGCCUUUGAAACUGUCUGGCUUGAGGCCGGGAGAGGGUAGCGGAAUUCCCAGUGUAGCGGUGAAAUGCGUAGAUACUGGGAGGAACACCGGUGGCGAAGGCGGCCAUCUGGACCGCAACUGACGCUGAGGCGCGAAAGCGUGGGGAGCGAACAGG
rnacentral:rRNA from 1 species